CUCAUUUGAUACAUCCAUGGCAAAUCUGAAGUCUCUCGUUCAUUUCCGUCUCAUGUUUCAUCUUGCCCGCUACCCUACCCCUAAGCUACUCCGGCCUUCUUGAUAUCCCUGAACGUUCUGUGCUGUCCUCUGCCACAGGGCCUUUGCCUGCGCUUCCCCUUUCCUUGGGCUGUUCUCCAGCCCACCCACCUUGUGACCCUGUUCACCCUUCCGAUAUCCACUGAAGCUGCUCUUCCUCAGCAAGACUCUAACCAAGACUAGGUCACACCAUCCGACCUGCAAGUUCUCAAAGCAAAUUCCACCACUCAUACCUAAGUGCAAGAGAAAGAGGUUGGUUAAUUUCUAUCUCUCACCCUCCCCCCAAAAAAACCCAAGAAGCCCCCAUCUGUUUAGGCCACCACUGUGGCGAAUAGAAAGACUGAAUUGUCAUCGUUGAGGAAGGAAGCCUUGGGCAGACACAGACAGAGGUUCCCUUUCCAAUCUCCAGGCCCUGGAGCAGUCACUGAGAACAGAGAGCCAACGGUGCUGCUGAGACUCCCAGAGCCCCCAGGUUCCACUCGGUGAGUGCUUCCCAAACUGGCCCGAGCUGGGAGGAGGGGACUGUGUUGCCCAGGGGUAGCUGCCAGCAUUUCCUACCCAAUUUUUGAUACAUUCACGAAACAGUAAGGCACAACUAUCAACAAUGACUCCUAUAGAGCCUGCAGCAACAAUGAAAAUCCAGCAACCCUGAAUGUUUUGGAAGCAUGGGAGCCUUUCUUUCAAACAGCUUGGGACAACACCCAGGUUAGCACCUAAUUGUCUCCUCACAAUGGGAGGAAAAAAAAUGCAAUGGUUGCCAUGACAACUGGGGGAAGAGUUCAGGCACUGAAUAUUCUUUUUUUGACAUAAAGCUCCUGACUUUGACUCAACUGAGAUCCCCCCUAUAUGUCUUUUGUUUUUUGCAAUGCUAAUCUCUUUUGGAGUUUUUAAAAAAAAUCAUUAAUACAUAUUUUGAAAGCACACCUUCUUUAGAAAGUACAAAAGAGAUGAUCCAAAAUGGUUCAGUGACAGGAAUGGGCAGGGAUGGGGAGGCAAGAGGAAGAAAACACAAAGCGUCUCCUCUGCGAUGCCGGGCCACCUAGCAGGCAGAUGCCCAGGUGAUAGAAGCUGCGCCUGAGAAAGCGGAGGGGAAGGGUGAAGAGCAAACGCACAAGGGGACGUGAGUAUUGUC